rnacentral:rRNA from 1 species
CAGCCGCCGCGGUAAUACGUAGGGUGCGAGCGUUAAUCGGAUUUACUGGGCGUAAAGCGUGCGCAGGCGGCCCGUUAAGACAGGUGUGAAAUCCCUGGGCUCAACCUAGGAAUUGCGCUUGUGACUGGCGGGCUCGAGUACGGUAGAGGGGGGUGGAAUUCCUGGUGUAGCAGUGAAAUGCGUAGAGAUCAGGAGGAACACCGAUGGCGAAGGCAGCCCCCUGGGCCUGUACUGACGCUCAUGCACGAAAGCGGGGGGAGCAAACAGGAUUAGAUACCCGGGUAGUCAACGCCCUAAACGAUGGGUACUAGCCGUUUGGUGCGCGAGAGCGCUGAGUGGCGAAGCUAACGCGUGAAGUACCCCGCCUGGGGAGUACGGCCGCAAGGUUGAAACUUAAAGGAAUUGGCGGG